CCUGUACAAGAACGUAUCUACAUUUGUAUAUUUACAUUAGUAUACAUUGAUUUAAGUAAGAAAAGGUACCAUGUUGGUUUUUGUUGAAGGCUUGAUAAAAGUGCGAACAUUGAGAAAUUGAUACUUCGUACCUUAAUAUGACAAGGACAUAGCAACAAAGUCGGUUGAUGUCUACUCUUACCACGAGUUACAUUAUUGUAUUGGUGUUCCUUUGCGCAUUGGCGUGUAUCACCCUUGCAGCUUGCUUAUUAUACGUUGUGUUUGAUAGCCUGAAAAUAAAAUUUACCAACAGACUGAACGGGCCAACACGCCCGACAACAAAUCCCUUCAUCAUUAAUAAUGUUGCUGUCAGGAGCAAGAACAACUAUACCGACAGAUAUAAGACAAGACAACAGAAUAAUGAACGGACACAACGUUAUGAAGUUGCGAUUGAGAUGAUAUCCAAAUAGUGUAAUGGAGCAGCAACGAAAAAAGACAUUGGAGCGUGUAAAUAAUGAUUGGCCCGGUCCAUCUGAUGCAUUCAUCUUCAAGUAGUCAUAUGAAUAAGAAUUUUAUAAUUUUGUAAUCAUAUGAUAUCGUCUGGAUCAUGGAUAUACAAAUAUAUCAAGUUAUUAAUGAUAACAAAAGAAUAUUUACUGCAAAGUCAUUAUUAUUCGUGGGAAACUAUUUUUGUGGUUUUCGUGGAUAGGUCAAUCCACGAAUUUAUGAUCCAACGAAAUUUUAUUUCGUCUGCCGUAAGAUUUUGCAUUACUUUAUUUACAUUUUACCUUUUUUGGAAAAAUAAACAGAACACGAAUUAAAGAAUC